rnacentral:rRNA from 1 species
AUUGAACGCUGGCGGCAGGCCUAACACAUGCAAGUCGAACGAGUGGCGGACGGGUGAGUAAUGUCUGGGAAACUGCCUGAUGGAGGGGGAUAACUACUGGAAACGGUAGCUAAUACCGCAUACCAUCAGAUGUGCCCAGAUGGGAUUAGCUUGUUGGGGGGGUAACGGCUCACCAAGGCGACGAUCCCUAGCUGGUCUGAGAGGAAGACCAGCCAAACUGGGACUUAUACACGGUCCAGACCCCUACGGGAGGCAGCAGUGUGGAAUAUUGGACAAUGGGCGCAAGCCUGAUGCAGCCAUGCCGCGUGUAUGAAGAAGGCCUUCGGGUUGUAAAGUACUUUCAGCGGGGAGGCGUUAACCGAAGAAGAAGCACCGGCUAACUCCGUGCCAGCCGCCGCGGUAAAAG